UUGAGCAAAGUGCAUUGACUUCUAAAACUCAGGGACUACACUCAAAGCCUCUUUUCACCAUCCAAGGAAAGCUGGUGUUUGUCUGACAGUUAGCUCCAAAAGCUGAGUACUGAGUUUGAAUACAACCCACAUGCACAAUAUCCUGUGAGGGACUGCAGUAGAGAGUCUGGAACUGCAGCCACAUAGGGAUUUCCAUAGUGGUGGUUUUGCAAGGCUCUGAACACAGCUUGUGCUGGACAUGCCUUUCAGCCUGGAUAGAGCAUUUCUUCUUUACAUUUCUCUGAAAACAGACAGGACCAUCGCCUUCAAAACAACCUCAGCAUUCUCUGGUCUUGCUCCUUUCCCAGGAAGCUGUAGGUUCUUGACAAGCACAGAACCAAGUUUUAUGCACAGAAAAAAAACAUGCCUGGAGAGUUCUCCUCCCACUCAGUGCUGUCCCCAUCUGGGGCCCCACUCACACAUCUCUGAGUAUCAACAGCAGCUGAGCAGGAGCAGCAAACAUGCUGCUGCGGGCAGCUCUGAUGGUCGUAACUGCAUGGUCUUGUGGAUUUGCACAGGAAACUCCCAUACAGAGCCCUGUAUCCAUCACCAAGUCACAAGGAAACGCAGAUCUGAAGUGUCAUUUUAAAGACUUCUCUGGAAAUUUUGAUAACACUGUCAUACACUGGUAUCAACAAAAGGAGAAUAAAGCUCCUGUGAGGAUGAUCUACUUUUCAGCAGGGAAAACAUUUCCAGAUGAGGGCUUUCAAAGGCAUAGAUAUACGAUUCAAGCAAAUGCUGUACAGAAAAUUUGCACUCUUACAAUCAGAAACAUCAUUCUGGAUGAUGCUGCUACUUACUAUUGUGCCUACUGGGACCCUCACUGUGGCAGAAGCCAAAUGAUCACCACAACAAAUACUUCCUCAGCAGCUCACAGAUCAUUUGGAAUAAACCAGAGCAACUUCAGUGGUGUGGAUGAGCUGCUCAUCCAGAAGCAGUUCCAUCUCAAUCUCUCAGAGAAUUUUGGAUAUCUUCUCUCAAAUGAGGGAUUAUGAAGCUAUCUGCAAAGUCUGUGUUGACCAUUUCUUCAGUGACAUGUCAGACAUUAACAUGGACAGCUGUAUGGUUGGAAAUGAAUCUACACAGUUCAUGUGUCUUCUUGUAACAGACAGCACAAGGUUGGAUUUGUAAUUAUUUCCACCGGGAGAAUUGCUGUGUUAGAAAUCCUCAGAACAAAACUUUCACAGUUGAAGUUUAGAUAUUAUUUGUGUGAGAUCCCACCACAAUAAUACUUUGUUGGUUUUUUUUCUGUUCAAUAUGUAGUUGGAAUUGUGGUGUCAGUAUAAAGUGUGCAGCAGUGCCUGCAGUAUCUUGCUCAGAAAAUACAUGAGAAUUCCAAGGUGAGUAUAAAUAAAUAAAACAACAAAAAGCAGAAGAAACUAGCAGCUUUCUGCAGUGUGCAGUUAGAUUUUGUCUGUAUAUGGGCAGGUAUAUUGGCCAAGGUGAGAACAGCAUCAUCACUCAGAAUAGGCACAAUCUCAGCAACUGUCCCUUCCUUCCAGGGUUCCUGGGUGAUGUCACCUUUCUCGUGCUGCACAGAAGCAGCUGUGAAAUGCUGCUAAGCUGUUAAUCAUUUAUCAGGUGAAACUCAAGCUCAAACAGGAGGUAAUCAUACAAACGUGGUUCUUAAAUGGACACUCUCAGCAGAGCUUCUGGAGUUAUGUCAAAGGUUUUGUCCAAAGAGAAAGGAAACUUUGAGACAUCUCUCAGAGCCACAAACCAGCUUGUGCUCCAUGUGGGACAAUUCCUUACAAGUUUCUCUGAUAGUGUAGAUUUAGCAGUUCCCAAAACAGAACAGUAACCAUCUUGAAGUGGAAAUGUGGAGCUUGGCCCCCUUCAUGAUCAGGACACUGUCUUGAAUAAUAUCCCCAAUUUGAUCUACUAGCAAAGGCUACUGAGAGUGAAGUUACUUACUCCCAGGUCACAGAAUAAACGUGUUACCCUUGUUUUCUGCAUGAGCCAUGUAGCAUCAGAAAGUAUCACAGGAAAGGGGAGCUUCACUGAAAAAUGUUUAUGGCUAAUUGGAAUCAGAGGCAGAGAAAGCCAGAACUUCUGAAGUUGCUCAGUGGUUCAUGGACUUGGGUUUUCUAGGCAAAGCAAUCAGCAAGAGGGAGAUGCGGUUUCACCACCUUGCUUCUAUUUCCUACCUUUCCUAACACCCAUCUUCCAUUCCCCAUCUCCCUAAAUGGCUAGGACUUGUAAUAAACUGCUUGGACCAACAUUUAAAUUGUUGUUUCUUAAUCUCACGCUGGGUAUACAUAUCUCAAAGAAACUUGCCUCCCUCCAUAAAUUGGAGUGAGACACUCUUUUUUCCUUAAGGGGAAACUUUUCCCCCUAGUUAUUAUUUAGAAGAAAAUGCUACUGUCAUUGUUUUCAAGAAUAUUUCCUUAUGUGAAAUAUAAAUUAUUCUACAUUAAAACUUA